rfam:Sus scrofa breed Duroc isolate TJ Tabasco Contig2471_1, whole genome shotgun sequence.
UCCCUGGUGGUCUAGUGGGUAGGAUUCAGUGCUUUCAUGGCUGUGGCCCAGGUUCAACCCCUGGUCUGAGAA